GAUGAACGCUGGCGGCGUGCCUAGUACAUGCAAGUCGAGCGAACGGACGAGAAGCUUGCUUCUCUGAUGUUAGCGGCGGACGGGUGAGUAACACGUGGAUAACCUACCUAUAAGACUGGGAUAACUUCGGGAAACCGGAGCUAAUACCGGAUAAUAUUUUGAACCGCAUGGUUCAAAAGUGAAAGACGGUCUUGCUGUCACUUAUAGAUGGAUCCGCGCUGCAUUAGCUAGUUGGUAAGGUAACGGCUUACCAAGACAACGAUGCAUAGCCGACCUGAGAGGGUGAUCGGCCACACUGGAACUGAGACACGGUCCAGACUCCUACGGGAGGCAGCAGUAGGGAAUCUUCCGCAAUGGGCGAAAGCCUGACGGAGCAACGCCGCGUAAGUGAUGAAGGUCUUCGGAUCGUAAAACUCUGUUAUUAGGGAAGAACAUAUGUGUAAGUAACUGUGCACAUCUUGACGGUACCUAAUCAGGAAGCCACGGCUAACUACGUG
rnacentral:rRNA from 1 species